UACGUAGGUGGCAAGCGUUGUCCGGAUUUACUGGGCGUAAAGAGUAUGUAGGCGGAUUUUUAAGUCAGAAGUGAAAGGUUGGAGCUCAACUCUAACAUUGCUCCUUAUACUGGAAGUCUUGAGGGCCGGAGAGGAAAGCGGAACGAGUCGUGUAGCGGUGAAAUGAGUGGAGAUGACUGGGAAUACCAAGUGGGAAGGCAGCUGUGUGGACGGUAGGCAACUUUAAAUCUGACGCUGAGAUACGAAAGCGUGGGGAGCGAACAGG
rnacentral:rRNA from 1 species